GCUCUUCAUCCAAAUUCAAAUAACAACAUUCUGCCAUCCUCCACAACUCAUUCUGUGUGUACCAAAGGGACUCUUCCCCUCAUAUCUAAACUACUACAGCAGUGCUGGCUGGUCUCUGUGCCUCCAGCUACCCUGUACUCACUGAUUAGUUCUCCAGGGAUCCCACUGUCAGCAGACCAAAGUAACUUCCUACAAUGACUUCCUAUUGACAACUGAAUCAAAAUAAACUCUUCACUGUAAUGUUUAAAGCCUUCAA